UCCUGUCUGAAUAUGGGGGGACCAUCCUCCAAGGCUAAAUACUCCUGACUGACCGAUAGUGAACCAGUACCGUGAGGGAAAGGCGAAAAGAACCCCGGCGAGGGGAGUGAAAAAGAACCUGAAACCGUGUACGUACAAGCAGUGGGAGCCCCACCACCAAAGCAUUCUCUGGUGUUGAAGGCCCUGCAAAGCAGCAUCGCGGUGGCGGAGCGUCGUUUGCGACGCCCAACACACAAAACAAGCGGUGAGUGCUUUGGGGUGGGGUGACUGCGUACCUUUUGUAUAAUGGGUCAGCGACUUAUAUUCUGUAGCAAGGUUAACCGMAUAGGGGAGCCGGAGGGAAACCGAGUCUUAAUUGGGCGUUAAGUUGCAGGGUAUAGACCCGAAACCCGGUGAUCUAGCCAUGGGCAGGUUGAAGGUUGGGUAACACUAACUGGAGGACCGAACCGACUAAUGUUGAAAAAUUAGCGGAUGACCUGUGGCUGGGGGUGAAAGGCCAAUCAAAC
rnacentral:rRNA from 1 species